rnacentral:rRNA from 1 species
UGAGCUAACAAUCAUAAAGGAACUCGGCAAAUUAACUACCGUAACUUCGGGAUAAGGAGGGCUCAUUAGUCCUGAUGAAUAUCGGGUAAAAAGGAAGAAGCAUAAAAUAAUGUUGUACGACUGUUUAAUUAAAACAAAGCACUCCGCAAAAAGAUUAAAAAUCGAUGUAUUGAGUGUGAUGUCUGCCCGAUCCCGGCUGGUUAACGGAUUUAACUAAAUUAUUAAAAAAUUUGGUGUUGAAGGAACCCCCGGUUAAUGGCGGCCUUAACGUGAGGGUCCUAAGGUAGCGAAAUGCCUUGGCCGUUAAAUGCGGUCUUGCAUGAAUGAUGUAACGAUACAACAGCUGUCUCUAUGAUUGACUCA